CGGGAACAGGCAGACGAGCUGAAAAACAAUUGUAAAUUCUAUAAUCUCAUCUGGACGCUGAACACCAAACAUCCACUGGAUCACAUCAUGUGUGUGUAGUUCAGUAACAUCAGUAUAUAAGCAUACGGCACUGGCAAACUUGAUAUAAUUGAAGGAAGAUUGAAUGGUUCUGAUAAAAAUCUGCUGCCGUCUACCAGAAUGAUGAAGAUGAAACGAGGGUGGACAUUUCAGCAAGACAAUGAUCCCCAACACACAGCCAAGGAAACUCUCAAUUGGUUUCAGAGAAAGAGAAUAAAGCUGCUGGAAUGGCCCAGACAAUCACCUGACUUGAAAAUCUAUGGAAAGAACUAAAGGUCAGAGUUCAUAGACGAGGCCCACGGAACAUUCAAGAUCUGAAGACCAAAAUCACACCUGAGCAACACAUGCGACUCAUUUCUCCAUACAGGAGCGUCUUGAGCUGUCAUGACCAACAAAGGCUUUUGUACAAAGUAUUAAAUACAUUUCAGUAAGCGUGUUCUAUACUUUUUUCCCCGUGUCAUUCUAGUUUAUUACAUAACACUUCAUUUGUGAACUUAUCUGUUUUUUUCUUUGUAUGUAUUGAUUAUUUGGGAUGUUAAGGACAUCUGGUGAAAAUUUCAUGUCAACAGCA